UGAAGAACGUAGCGAAAUGCGAUACUUGGUGUGAAUUGCAGAAUCCCGUGAACCAUCGAGUCUUUGAACGCAAGUUGCGCCCGAAGCCGUCAGGCCGAGGGCACGCCUGCCUGGGCGUCACACGCCGUUGCCCCCCCGCGCCCCGCACCCAACUCUUUGGGAGCGACCGCGGGGCGGGCUGAUGAUGGCCUCCCGUGCGCUCCGCCGCGCGGUUGGCCCAAAUACCGAGUCCCCGGCGACGUGCGCCACGACGAUCGGUGGUUGAGAGACCUCUGUCGCAAGUCGUGCGCGCCCGUCGCGUCACGCGGGCUCGCAUAGCGCCUCGCGCCGCACCCGGUGCGGAGCUUUCAACGCGACCCCAGGUCAGGCGGGGUUACCCGCUGAAUUUAAGCAUAUCAAUAAGCGGAGGA
rnacentral:misc_RNA from 1 species